UACAGAGGUGCCAAGCGUUAGGCGGAAUCACUGGGCUUAAAGCGCGCGUAGGCUGAUGUUUAAGUGUCUUGUGAAAUCCCACGGCUCAACCGUGGAACUGCUGGGCAUACUGGACAUCUCGAGGCACUCAGGGGCGAGCGGAACAAGUGGUGGAGCGGUGAAAUGCGUAGAUAUCACUUGGAACGCCAAUGGUGAAGACAGCUCGCUGGGGGUGUCCUGACGCUGAGGCGCGAAAGCCAGGGGAGCGAACGGG
rnacentral:rRNA from 1 species